ensembl:lncRNA
GCCUUAAAUAGCCGGGCUGCUGCAGACACGCGCUUGGUAGCUGAGCCUGGGACCCGCGGGAGAAGUGCCUGGGAAACCGCGCGCCCAGCCUGCCCUCGGCUGGGGGUGGCGAAGGGGCGCACCAUGCCUGCGGACAUCCCGGGGAAGCCGAGGGCCUCGCCGCGGGCGGGAGCGGCGGGGGGGGCGGCCCCGGCCCCCGCACACCCCCCCGCCGCCGNNNNNNNNNNNNNNNNNGCCCCCUCCUGGACGCCCUCAGGAAAGGGGUGGGUUGGGGGGGGGGACAAGACUGGGGAGCCUGGAAUCCCGGCCUUCCUGGGCGGCCCGCCGCCCUCACCGGCCCCGCCCGCAGAGCUCCCGCCGCUCGAAGCUGGAGAAGGCGGACAUCCUGGAGCUGACCGUGAGGCACCUGCAGAGCCUGCGGCGCGUGCAGGUGACAGACGCUGUCGCCAAAGAGGUGUUUGUGCUGAGGCCCCUGUCAGCCCUCCAGGGACCUCUCCAGCUCCGAGGGAACCACACUGUUCCUCAGACAGACUUUCUCGGUGGAUAAUAGAAGAAGCACCUUCUCUGGACAAAAGUGCGGAGGGGGUGGGGAAAGAACCAGAACUUCCUCCUUCUGGGGGAGGGUGUGGCCCCUUUUCCCCGCCACUGGCAGGGGGAGGGGGGGUCCUCUGUGGGCUUCACAUCCCCCGUUUNNNNNNNNNNNNNNNGCCCCCGCAACUGGCAGGUGGAGCGGUGUUCCUCUGUGGCCUCCAUCCGCCCAGUUCCUGGUGGGGACCAAGGGUCAAUGAGUGUUUGCUGAAUUCCUGUGUGUAGUCAGGUGCUCUGCCUGCCUCUGUGGGUGUCUCGCCCUGUGGAACCCUGUGACUCUGGGUCCCUCUUUCUUGCCUGUGAGGUCAGGGCUUGGGGACUAACAAUGACAGCAAAUCAUAGGUGUUUGAAAUCUGGAGAAAGAGUUGGUCCUAACGGUGACAGCAGUCGGCCUCGCCAGGCCCAGAAAACUCCAGGUACUUGGGAGUUUGAAAUGGGGUAGGACCUGGGGCUCCUGGGAGCCUUGACUUUUGAAAGGUGAGCCCUUAGCUUCCCAACCAGAGCUCCUGUGAUCACCUGAUUAUCUCCAGGCCCCAACAGCCUCCUCUAGGCUCUAGGACCUGCUCCCCUUUCCCCCAAGAAAGAAGCUGAGCCCAGAGGGUUCUGGAGCCGUGUCUGGCUGCUCUCUGCCCCUUGAAGCUCUAGGGGCCAUACCUAUCCUGGGAGGCACCACUGGGCAAGGAAACAGGCCCUGGGGUUGACAGCCUCCCAGGAGGCACCCCCCCCAAGAGCCCCGACCUGGUACUCUACCUCUGAAUGUACUGAGGUUGACCUGCAUCAGCAGUAAGGUCCUGUAGAAGAUGAGGUCGCAGGGGCAUCCUGGCCUGUCUCUCUCUGUCCCUAAAAUCCUCCACUUGGAGGAGGCCAGCUGUUCUUUGCUAUGGAGCGGCCAACAGAGUGUGGGGUUUAUAAGCUGGUCUCCAGCCUUCAGCUGGGACCCCAGCUGCUGCCGACAUCUCAGUAGCAAUCCGAAGAGACUGAGAGCCGGGACCACCCAGCUGAGCAGUUCCAGGACUCCUAUCCCUCAGAAAUUGUGUGAGAUAAUGUGUUUGUUGUUUUAAACGGAUAAAUUGUAGGUUAAUUUGUUGUACAGCUAUAAUUAACAAUGUUUUAUGUAAAAUUAAAGUUAUUGUAAGUAACAAUAGCAGUAUACAACUAACGUGCCCAUGGUCACCCAGGGCCUCCAGCAUCACGUGCCCACUUGAUGAUGGGGUUGUGGAAGAGGAUGGGUGGAGCAAGGCCCAGAAACAGCCCUUGCAGUGGUGGUGAUGAGCAGAGCAGACUGGACUCAUGUCCAUUGGGAAGCAGUUCCCCUGUGAGUGCCAGCUACGGGUGCAGGGACAGGCCAGCCCCCUGUCCCCUUCCAUUCCCAUCCUGGGCUGACCAGCCACAGCCCAGGCCCCAUCCCUGUGGCUUGUGGGCAGGGCUUAGGGCCAUUUCUGUUUCAGUAACUGAGGGGGCACACUGUAUCAGAACAUGGUGUUGGGGGUUCUGGGGCCCCAGAUUUCAAACAAAAACAGGCAUGGGCGAUGCUCCAUGCUGGGAACCACAGAGCUGACUGCCCUGCCCAGAGAGGCCUGUUCCCAUCAGCCUGCCAUUCCCAGCACAAACCCUGCAACCUGCCCCCAGGGCCACACUGACCUGUCCCCAGUGGGCACAUCAACCUUCUUUGCAGCCUGGUGUCCAUGGUGACCAAGAGGCAACUGGCUGAUGCUGCUUCAGAGGUCUCUUCUUGGUGUCCUGCCUGACCCUGACACCCACCUGGUGACUUUGGGCUCACCUCCUGGGCUCCUGCUUCAAACAAAAAGUCUGCAUGUCUGUGUGGGGACGUGGGGGCCAAUUCCUGCCUUCCCGUCUUUACCCACAAGUGGGCCAGAGGCUGGUGAAGAGGAGGACUUCCCUUCGCUAGGAUCCCCCAGCACCCCUUACUCUGUCUAGCACGUGGGAUAGGGCUCAGCAGCUCCAGGUGUGGGGAGGCACCAUGGUCCUCUCCUGGCCGCCAUGUCCAUCCCCUGACAUAUGAGCUGACCAUGACCUGGGCCAUACACGAUAUCCAGGGGCUGGGCUCCAGCCAGGGCCCUUCAGCUCCUGACCCUCCCUUCACAUGGCCUUUCAAAGCGCAGGCCUCUGGGGCCCUAGGCUUGGACUUUCCCUGCCAGCCCAGGAUCAGUAAAGUAUUAGGGAAGACCUGGCCGAGCUUCUUCCUCUACCUGGAUCAGGAGGCUGGUUCUGGACCAAACCCCAGGUGGGACAGGGCAUCAUCUGGCUGUGUAUACAUGGGAUUUUCUUCUCUCUGUGUCCCCUGAAGUUUCUUUUGUUGAAUUAAGAGGUGAGGGUAACAUCCCACGACUGAGCUGACCAGUCUGCCCACUUGGAGCCCAAACUUUUUGGUUAGACUUUUCCAGAGCAGAGCCCAGGUCCUAUGGACUGGAUAUUUGUCUGCAAACUGUCCCUUGCCCUGCUAAUUCAUAUGUUGAAUACUACCCCCCAAGGUGGUGGCUUUAGGAAGUGGGGCCUCUGGAAGGAAAUUCGGUCAUGGAUUAGUGCCUUUCCUUUUCAAAAGGGACGAGAAGGGAGAGCUCAUGCUCAGGACAUGACUGGAAGGCAGGCUUUCCCUGGAAAGAGGUCCUCAUGGAACGCACACCCAUGCUGGCAUUUGCCUCUGGGUUCCUAUUAUUGAUUUGUGCUGUUAGGGCAGCCCUGCUGACCAGGACCCCUGGGCUUGAUGUUACUACACAGACAGGAGGCUGGAGGUGGCUGCUGACUGCCCCUCCCAGGACAGGAACAGGAGUUCUGGGUAUUUGGGUUGGUGCGUCUUGUGCCCAGGUCCUUCCCUGCCACACAGAUUUGACUCCUGUGCAAACCCAGCGAUCGAUGUCUUCCUGGGUCGGGAGGAGUUCCAGCCUGAACCCCAGGGUCCUGGGGAAAGUUGGAUCCGCCCCAGCCUGGAGCUGGGGAGUAUUGUGUGGAGUGAAUGAAAUAAAGCCUG